rnacentral:rRNA from 1 species
GAUGAACGCUGGCGGCGUGCCUAAUACAUGCAAGUCGAGCGAACAGACGAGGAGCUUGCUCCUUCGACGUUAGCGGCGGACGGGUGAGUAACACGUAGGUAACCUACCUAUAAGACUGGGAUAACUUCGGGAAACCGGAGCUAAUACCGGCUAAUAUUUCGAACCGCAUGGUUCGAUAGUGAAAGAUGGCUUUGCUAUCACUUAUAGAUGGACCUGCGCCGUAUUAGCUAGUUGGUAAGGUAACGGCUUACCAAGGCAACGAUACGUAGCCGACCUGAGAGGGUGAUCGGCCACACUGGAACUGAGACACGGUCCAGACUCCUACGGGAGGCAGCAGUAGGGAAUCUUCCGCAAUGGGCGAAAGCCUGACGGAGCAACGCCGCGUGAGUGAUGAAGGUCUUCGGAUCGUAAAACUCUGUUAUUAGGGAAGAACAAACGUGUAAGUAACUGUGCACGUCUUGACGGUACCUAAUCAGAAAGCCACGGCUAACUACGUG